GGUUAAGUUAGAAAGGGCGCACGGUGGAUGCCUUGGCACUAGGAGCCGAAGAAGGACGGGACUAACACCGAUAUGCUUUGGGGAGCUGUACGUAAGCGUUGAUCCAGAGAUUUCCGAAUGGGGGAACCCACUAUCUUUAGUCGGAUAGUAUCCUUACGUGAAUACAUAGCGUGAGGAAGGCAGACCCAGGGAACUGAAACAUCUAAGUACCUGGAGGAAGAGAAAGAAAAAUCGAUUUCCUGAGUAGCGGCGAGCGAAACGGAAAGAGCCCAAACCAAGAAGCUUGCUUCUUGGGGUUGUAGGACACUCUAUACGGAGUUACAAAAGAAAGUUAUAAAUGAAGCGGUCUGGAAAGGCCCGCCAAAGACGGUAACAGCCCGGUAGUUGAAAUGGCUUUCCCUCCAGAGUGGAUCCUGAGUACGGCGGAACACGUGAAAUUCCGUCGGAAUCCGGGAGGACCAUCUCCCAAGGCUAAAUACUCCCUAGUGACCGAUAGUGAACCAGUACCGUGAGGGAAAGGUGAAAAGCACCCCGGAAGGGGAGUGAAACAGUUCCUGAAACCGUGUGCCUACAAGUAGUUAGAGCCCGUUAAUGGGUGAUAGCGUGCCUUUUGUAGAAUGAACCGGCGAGUUACGAUUUGUUGCAAGGUUAAGCGGAAAAAGCGGAGCCGUAGCGAAAGCGAGUCUGAAUAGGGCGCAUAAGUAACAGGUCGUAGACCCGAAACCAGGUGAUCUACCCAUGUCCAGGAUGAAGGUAAGGUAAUACUUACUGGAGGUCCGAACCCACGCACGUUGAAAAGUGCGGGGAUGAGGUGUGGGUAGCGGAGAAAUUCCAAUCGAACUUGGAGAUAGCUGGUUCUCUCCGAAAUAGCUUUAGGGCUAGCCUCGAGGUAAAGAGUCAUGGAGGUAGAGCACUGUUUGGACUAGGGGCCCUUCUCGG
rnacentral:rRNA from 1 species